UGCCAAUGAUGUAUCAAAUGCACGUAUUAUCAGAUUAAUUGCUGAUGAAUUGUAAUUGUCACUACCGCUGAGGCA